GACGAACGCUGGCGGCGUGCUUAACACAUGCAAGUCGAACGGACAGGCCCGGCUUUUGUGGGUUGCUCGAUUGGCGAACGGGGGAGUAACACGUGAGGAACCUGCCCUUGACUGUGGGAUAACUUCAGGGAACUGGGGCUAAUACCGGAUAUGAUCUUUUGCUGCAUGUUGGGGGUUGGAAAGUUUCGGCGGUUGGGGAUGGACUCGCUGCUUAUCAGCUUGAUUGUGGGGUAGGGGCUGACAACGGCUUUGACGGAUAGGCUGCCUGGGAGGGUGGCCGGCCACCUUGCGCCUGCGAUACGCACCAGUAUCCUACGGGCCGCAGUAGUGGAGAAUCUUGCAGAGUGGGGGGAAGCGAGAUGCAGCAGUGCCGCGUGCGGGAUGACGGGCUUCGGGUUAUAAACAGAUUUCGAAUGAACCGAGGAGAGAGUGACGGUACUGAGUCAAAAAGCCACGGCUAACUACGUG
rnacentral:rRNA from 1 species